rnacentral:rRNA from 1 species
UUAUGGCUCAGGAUGAACGCUGGCGGCGUGCCUAACACAUGCAAGUCGAACGGAACUUUAACGGAACAAGGCUUCGGUCAAGUGAAAUUUAAGUUUAGUGGCGGACGGGUGAGUAACGCGUGAGUAACCUGCCUUUCACAGGGGGAUAACGUUUGGAAACGAACGCUAAUACCGCACAACACAGCAGAGUCGCAUGGCUCAGCUGUCAAAGAUUUUAUCGGUGAAAGAUGGACUCGCGUCCGAUUAGGUAGUUGGUGAGGUAACGGCUCACCAAGCCGACGAUCGGUAGCCGGACUGAGAGGUUGAACGGCCACAUUGGGACUGAGACACGGCCCAGACUCCUACGGGAGGCAGCAGUGGGGAAUAUUGCACAAUGGGCGCAAGCCUGAUGCAGCAACGCCGCGUGAGGGAAGACGGUUUUCGGAUUGUAAACCUCUGUCUUUGGUGACGAAGAAGUGACGGUAGCCAAGGAGGAAGCCACGGCUAACUACGUGCCAGCAGCCGCGGUAAUACGUAGGUGGCAAGCGUUAUCCGGAAUUACUGGGUGUAAAGGGAGCGCAGGCGGGAUAGCAAGUCAGCGGUGAAAUGCAUGGGCUUAACUCAUGAGCUGCCGUUGAAACUGUUAUUCUUGAGUGGAGUAGAGGCAGGCGGAAUUCCGAGUGUAGCGGUGAAAUGCGUAGAUAUUCGGAGGAACACCAGUGGCGAAGGCGGCCUGCUGGGCUCUAACUGACGCUGAGGCUCGAAAGUGUGGGGAGCAAACAGGAUUAGAUACCCUGGUAGUCCACACUGUAAACGAUGAUUGCUAGGUGUGGGGGGUCUGACCCCCUCCGUGCCGGAGUUAACGCAAUAAGCAAUCCACCUGGGGAGUACGGCCGCAAGGUUGCAACUCAAAGGAAUUGACGG